rnacentral:rRNA from 1 species
CCUACGGGAGGCAGCAGUGGGGAAUAUUGCGCAAUGGGCGAAAGCCUGACGCAGCGACGCCGCGUGUGGGAUGACGGCCUUCGGGUUGUAAACCACUGUCGCGAGGGACGAAGCUCUGACGGUACCUCGAAAGGAAGCACCGGCUAACUCUGUGCCAGCAGCCGCGGUAAUACAGAGGGUGCGAGCGUUGUCCGGAAUCACUGGGCGUAAAGGGCGCGUAGGUGGCCUGAUAAGUAGGGGGUGAAAUCUCGCGGCUCAACUGCGAGGCUGCCUCCUAAACUGUCGGGCUCGAGCAGAGUAGAGGCAGGUGGAAUUCCCGGUGUAGCGGUGGAAUGCGUAGAGAUCGGGAAGAACAUCGGUGGCGAAGGCGGCCUGCUGGGCUCUUGCUGACACUGAGGCGCGACAGCGUGGGGAGCAAACAGGAUUAGAUACCCUGGUAGUCCACGCCGUAAACGAUGGGUACUAGGCGCCGGGGGGAGCGACCCCUUCGGUGCCGUCGCUAACGCAAUAGUACCCGCCUGGGGNGACGCGCGAGCGNGACGACAAUAGAGUUAGAGCGUUGAGAGNGCGAGGCGACGACGAGGGAGAGG